UGGGGAAUUGUUCGCAAUGGGCGCAAGCCUGACGACGCAACGCCGCGUGGAGGAUGAAGAUUUUCGGGUUGUAAAGCACUUUCGGUGGGGACAAACAAGGCGGAGCUAACAUCUCCGUCCCUGAUGGUACCCAAAGAAGAAGCACCGGCUAACUCUGUGCCAGCAGCCGCGGUAAUACAGAGGGUGCAAGCGUUAAUCGGAAUUACUGGGCGUAAAGCGUGCGUAGGUGGUUUGUUAAGUCAGGUGUGAAAUCCCGGGGCUCAACCUCGAAAUUGCGCUUGAUACUGGCAGACUCGAGUGUGGUAGAGGAUAGUGGAAUUCCCGGUGUAGCGGUGAAAUGCGUAGAUAUCGGGAGGAACAUCAGUGGCGAAGGCGGCUAUCUGGACUAACACUGACACUGAGGUACGAAAGCGUGGGUAGCAAACAGGAUUAGAUACCCAAGUAGUCCCUGAGCGGGCUGGCAAGGCGCAU
rnacentral:rRNA from 1 species